rfam:Mesocricetus auratus contig087947, whole genome shotgun sequence.
AUCUACGGCCAUACCACCCUGAACGUGCCUGAUCUCUCCUGAUUUUGGAAACUAAGCAGGGUCCGGCCUGGUUAGCACUUGGAUGGGAGACUAGUUAUGAAUGCUCAGCCUAGCUUAGGCU